GACGAACGCUGGCGGCGUGCUUAACACAUGCAAGUCGAACGAUGAAGCUGGAGCUUGCUCCGGUGGAUUAGUGGCGAACGGGUGAGUAACACGUGAGCAAUCUGCCCUUGACUCUGGGAUAACUGCGGGAAACUGUAGCUAAUACCGGAUACGAGGCUCGAAGGCAUCUUCGGGUCUGGAAAGAAUUUCGGUGAAGGAUGAGCUCGCGGCCUAUCAGCUUGUUGGUGAGGUAAUGGCUCACCAAGGCGACGACGGGUAGCCGGCCUGAGAGGGUGACCGGCCACACGGGGACUGAGACACGGCCCAGACUCCUACGGGAGGCAGCAGUGGGGAAUAUUGCACAAUGGGCGAAAGCCUGAUGCAGCAACGCCGCGUGAGGGAUGAAGGCCUUCGGGUUGUAAACCUCUUUUAGCAGGGAAGAAGCGAAAGUGACGGUACCUGCAGAAAAAGCACCGGCUAACUACGUGCCAGCAGCCGCCGUAA
rnacentral:rRNA from 1 species